UUUAUAAAGAAAAAUUCAAGUUGUAUAAUAGCAUUAAUGCAAAAACAGCUGCAAUAAACAGUGCUACAACUAAAUCAACAUGUUUAUAGCCAUAUCUGCUGUUCUCAUCUCUUUGGCCACAGAAGCUGUUCUGGGAGUGACACUGGUGCAAAAAGAUCUCUUCUGGACAAAAGGUGAAGGCAAAACUGUGUAUAUCAGCUGCAAAGUGAAGGAAUUAAGCAGGGACUAUGUCCACUGGUACCAAAAGAAAGAAGGUGAAGCUCUCACAAGGAUCCUGUACGUCAAAAGAGGAAGCUCAGCGGUUCAGGAUCCUAACCAUCCUGAAGCAAAUGACUUCAAUGUGAGGAUUCAGUCAGAUAAUUAUGAUCUGAAGAUAGAAAGCCUGAAGAAAAGUCACUCAGCAGUGUAUUACUGUGCCAGCUGGGACUACAGUGGUGAUGCACAGUGAAUAAAUUAAUUACAGUGUAAACAAAAAACCUGAUGAUA